UACGGGGGGGGCAAGCGUUGUUCGGAAUUACUGGGCGUAAAGGGCGCGUAGGUGGCCAACUAAGUCAGACGUGAAAUCCCUCGGCUUAACCGGGGAACUGCGUCUGAUACUGGAUGGCUUGAGUUUGGGAGAGGGUAGUGGAAUUCCCGGUGUAGUGGUGAAAUGCGUAGAUAUCGGGAGGAACACCAGUGGCGGAGGCGACUACCUGGCCUGUUCUUGACGCUGAGGCGCGAAAGCUAGGGGAGCAAACGGG
rnacentral:rRNA from 1 species